UCAGGGAGAGGCACCGGGCUGUCUGAGUGAGAGAUGGUCCCUGUGUAGGUAGGUGUGUGACUGGUGACUUGACCUCUUCUAGUCAGCACCAGCUUCUCUGAAAUGGGCUGGGGAGCCUUGUGAGCCAUUCACAAGACCAGGAACUGUAUUACUGAGAAGCCCUGUGAGCUGUUGACAAGAAGAGGAAACAACCAAUGCCUGACCUCUGCCCUCUUCUACUUACAAGGAGAAACUUGGGUGAUUUUUCAUUGACUGAGUUUCCACGGGCUCCCCUCCCCAGUGAUCUGUUACACUGAUGUCCAGGGUCAUUCAGUAGGAGGAUAGAGAGAAUACAAAAAGCAACAGGAGUCUGUCCCACACAGAUGAUCACAGCUCCUCUGAUCAGAAAGCUGCAUCCAUUGUGGCAUAUGCGGAAUACUCUACUGUACCUGGAAUUGAAAAAUCCUAUCUUGUUUAAGCUACUGAAUUACUACUGGGGCCCUGGUUUCAGCAGCUCCAACCCCUGUUUCCAACCCCUACCACUCAGCCGACUCCUAUGAAAAUGGUUUCCAAGAGGAGUCUGUUGGAAACAGACUGAGCAGUAAACAUCAGCACCAAAUAACUGCCGCCUGUCUGGGAGAGACCCAGCAAUAAGAAGAGAACCUGGAGACCAGCUUCUGCAAGUCAUGCCCACGUCUGUGCUAAAUGUCACCCGCAGCAUUGUGGGAAGCACAGGCUGCUGCUUUCAGUGAAGGCCUCCAGAGGACAGUGCCCAGACAAUCUCUGUGACCCAUUCUAGUUCAACCGUUGUCCAGUCUUUAGAAGUGGGCCUCACAAUAACCUUAAGAUACCACCUUAGCAAUUUGUGUUUAUUCCUUCUGGCUCCUACUGAUUAGAGGUAGGGAAUAGCCACUCACCAAGUUCUCCACUUAAAAUCAUGCUUUGAAAUACUUGAUAAAUGCAUCUCGUUAACCUAUACUUAUCUAGACCUAAUAAUUUAAAAAACAUUUUAUGUACUCACUUGAUUAUAAUCUUCAACUCAUGUAAUCCCUGCUACCUGAUCC
ensembl:lncRNA